rnacentral:lncRNA from 1 species
AUAGUAUUGGGCAUCCUUCUUAUUUGUGUUAUUUGAUGCUGAGUGUGAGCACUUUCUCUGUGUCAGGGUAAGCCAAUGAUCUGAGUAGGGCUUGAUAAUGCCAUUGGAGAGUCUGACAAGAUCAAAGUGUAAAUGGGAGAGAAGAGGAAAAGAAGGAAAGAAAUGAGAGCCACAUAUCUACUGGCAAAAGGAAAAGUGCAAAAUUUCCAAGGGCAGGCUGCUGAAGGCCUGCCAGAGCGGGUAAGUGGAGAGGCUGGGCCAGAGAGGCAGAGGGGCUGCUCACCUAGAUCAGGCCCAAGAAGCGGUUUGAGUGGGUCUCACUGUGUCAGGAUAGGAUGGAAGGCAAAGGUUGUUGAAGUUAUGAAUGUCUGUUUCACAGAACUAAAUAUGAACAGCUUUAUUAAGGAGAUGGCUCAUCCCAGGAUAAAGACAGCAACAGAUGAUAUAGAGAAGAUUACACCAAACAAAUCUGCUGUAAACUGCAUUUACCCUUAGGAGAUGAUAAACUAAAGAUGAAGGGAAGGGAUAAUGAAUGAAUGUUAAGAGCUAAAAACUAUAAAACUCUUAGAAGAAAAUAUAGCAGUAAAUCAACAAAACCUUGGAUUAGGCAACAGUUUCUCAGAUAUCUCAUCAAAAGCACAAGCGACAAAAUUAAAAAAUAGAUAAAUUGGACUUCAUCAAAGUAAAACUUUUGCGUUCCAAAGAAUACCAUCAAGAAAGUAAAAAGACAACCCACAGAAUGGAAGAAAAUAUUUGCAAAUCAUAUAUCUUAAGAGAAUUGUAGCCAGAAUAUAAAAACUCUCACAACUCAACAAUAAAAAAACAAAUAACUCAAUUUUGAAAGUGGACAAAGGGAUAGACCUACAAAUGUUCAAUAAACACAUGAAAAGAUACUCAGUAUCAUUAGCCAUCAGGGAAAUGCCAGUCAAAACCACAAUAGAUACCAUUUUAUGCCCACUAGAAUGGCUAUAAGAUAGAUAAUACUAAAUUUUGUCAAAGAUUUGGAGAAAUCAAACCCUUACACAUUGUUGAUGAGAAUGUAAAAUGGUACACAAUUUUUGGAAAACAAUCUGGCAGUUCUUCAGAGUUAAAACAAAAAGUUACCUUGUGACCUAGCAAUCCCAUUCGAAGAGAGUUAAAAACAUAUUUUCCAACAAAAGCUUGUACAUGAAUGUUUAUAGCAACAUUAUUCAUUAUGGCCAAAAAGUGGAAACAGCCCAAAUAAAUGUUCCUCAGCUGAUGAGUGGGUAAAUAAACGUGGUAUGAACUUAUGUUUUAUUUAUUCAUUAAACCAUA